AAGACGCCAGAGCCGGAGUUUUGUACAUCCAUUUGCACAGUACUGUACAACAAGUUUCCUUUGCUGAGUUCCUUGGUCAGGGGUUAAACACAUUUUCUGUCCAGUACUGCAGUUGGAAUUUUCCAUCAACAUUUUUAUGUUUUCACAGUACUAGGGUGCAGUAAGAGCACAAACACAGAGUUCAACUUUGAUUCAACUCCGUGAUUCUCUCAAGAGAGGCGACCAAAAUGUCUGACCUGCCAUAAAAUGAUUCGACUAUCUGCCGACCAAGAGAGGUUAUUCACCUUUUUUUCCCUCCUGUACAUUGCAUCAACACAGCACAGCAAAUAUCAAAGUUGAAAUUUAAUUUGAUUCAAAGAAGAGUCGCAUCAGAAUUUGGCUCAAAAUUGCACAAUGCACAUUCGGCCUUAAGCCUGGUUUGUACUUCUGCGUUGAGUGAUUGGCGUGACCUACGGCGCCUGCCCUGCGUGCAGCUGAGCACUUAUACUUGUGCGCGCUGUUUGU